rnacentral:rRNA from 1 species
UGUUGGGGUUGUAGGACUCCGAUAUGGUAGUUCUUUCAGAUAGUCGAAUGACUUGGAAAAGUCAGUCAAAGAGGGUAAAAACCCCGUAGACGAAAUGUGGAAGACACCUAGGAGGAUCCUGAGUACGGCGGAACACGAGAAAUUCCGUCGGAAUCCGGGAGGACCAUCUCCCAAGGCUAAAUACUCCCUAGUGACCGAUAGUGAACCAGUACCGUGAGGGAAAGGUGAAAAGCACCCCGGAAGGGGAGUGAAAUAGAACCUGAAACCGUGUGCUUACAACAAGUCAAAGCCCGU